AAUAUCGCAUAUGAUAUACAGUCCAGAAGGUUCUUGCAAAACUACCUCCGGAAAAUUGCAAGAAAAUAUUUUUCCUAAGGUAUGUUAUAGUUUUAUAUGUAUUUUCUUUAGUUUAUGUAUUUUCUUAAGAUAUGGUUACUUUCCGUCCAGCUUGUGGAUUGCCUAUUCCUCUUCAAAUCUUUCAUUUACAUGCCAUGUUUGCCUGAUAAGACACAGGCAGGUAGAAAAUGAUUGUUCUACUUAUAACUUCUCUGCUGUUAGAAAAUCCUGCCUUACUAUAUAUUUAGAAAUACAUGAAAAUUGAUAGAUUUUGGUCUGGAAGAAUUGGCUAUGAUUGUUUCGCAUCAUGAUUUUCUAUCUUCCAAAUUAUGUUGAAGGUGGCGUUCAUGAUCUCUAAUAUGCUUUUAGAGCUUGGAAUUUGUUUAUUUCAAGUAUGCUCACAGUCAUGGUCACGUUAAGGAACUUAUGCAUAGUUAACUUCAAGGAAUUUAUAUUAAUUUACAUUGUUGUAAUGGCAAUUAUCUUUCCUUAUGAAAUGCUGGAAACUCAUUUCAUGGCAAUUCAUGAAUUACCAAGUCACUUACCUUUUCUUGCAAAACUCUAGUGUAUUUUAUACCUCCGGAAAUUGAAAGUAACCAUUUUCUUGCAAAACUACCUCCAGAAAUUGAAAGAAAUUAUUUUUCCUAAAUCACUUACCUUUUUUUUCUUAUAGGGCAUAAUUUGUUUGAAACCAUGAUGCUUUUUUUCUUCCUGCAUUAGUAAAUUGAUGAGUGAUAUACUUUAUUAUCUUAUUCUAUCUUAGCCACCAUGCCCAUCGACUAAUGUAUUAUCUUUGGUUCAUGACGUUCUUAUUGUUGAAUUGAUAUUUUGUCAUCAUUGCAAGUUGCAACACAUGAAAUCUUCCAUUGCAAUUUGCACAGAUUUGUCAAGAAAUGCAGCAAAAAAAAGAUUCUUCCAUGGUUUGUUUGUCAGGUUACGUUUUUUCAUAGUUCUCUUGUUUUGUUGCUUAAUCUUCUAUGUUUUUUGAGACAAGCAAAGAGUUUGUGUUGUGAUUCCACUAUUGAAACUUUAGUAGCAUAGACAUACUCCUUCCCUGCUCGUGCUUGCAAAUUUAUAUGAAUUUGGUAAUAAUUAACUUGGCAGUACUUUUGGAGAUUGCUACUUUUGCAUGAGGAUGAUAAAUUUCUAAUAAUUUGUAGGAAUGGUAACCUCAAAAUUUGGAAAGUGGCAUGCCUUGACAGCUUUUGAAGUACUGAAAGAACUUUUUUUUCUUGGUUGAGCUCCAUUUAAGUUCUCCCUUUCCUUGUUCAGUUAAAAGCAAGACAUUAUUAUAUCUUUUUUGGUGGGCACGUUCAAUGCAUGGGCAAAUGACUUAUGGGGGAUUAAUGAAGCCGACCACACAUUACCAUCUAUUGGCUUUUUGUAAAUGAAUAUAUUUAGUUGCCUUUUUGGGGGGGAAUUCAUGAAGCUAAGUAUUAAUUGAUGACUUAUGUAUAUUUUUUGAUGCUAGUUGUUGGGUUUUUGUAAAAUUUUUAAUCAGAAUAUCGUGUGAUAUAACUUUUGUAAUACAAUGAUCAUAUUUUUGAAUAAUAUAUUUUGUACAAA